AUUGAACGCUGGCGGCAGGCUUAACACAUGCAAGUCGAACGAGUGGCGGACGGGUGAGUAAUGUUUGGGAAACUGCCUGAUGGAGGGGGAUAACUACUGGAAACGGUAGCUAAUACCGCAUACCAUCGGAUGUGCCCAAGUGGGAUUAGCUAGUGGGUGGGGUAAAGGCUCACCAAGGCGACGAUCCCUAGCUGGUCUGAGAGGAUGACCAGCCACACUGGAACUGAGACACGGCCCAGACGCCUACGGGAGGCAGCAGUGGGGAAGAUUGCGCAAUGGGCGCAAGCCUGAUGCAGCCAUGCCGCGUGUAUGAAGAAGGCCUUCGGGUUGUAAAGUACUUUCGGCGGGGAGGCGUUACCCGCAGAAGAAGCACCGGCUAACUCCGUGCCAGCAGCCGCGGUAAUAC
rnacentral:rRNA from 1 species